GAAGAUCAAAAGUCUGGAAUGAUUUUCUUGAACCUGAAUUAAUUAAAGGGAAAUGGAAAGUAAGGUGUAAGUAUUGCAACAGUCCUCUUUCGAUCUUGGUAUCUAAAAGUACUAGUCAUUUGAGUCGACAUGUUUGUCCGAAUAAGACGUUGCAUAUGAAACAACAACAAUUGAUUAACUUUAUGCCAUCUGAUAAAAGUGCUGGUGCAAACCAUUCUGAAUUUGUUAGUGCUUUGCAUAAUGGUAAGUUUGACAUGAUAAAGAUGAGAGAGGGGAUAGCACAUUGGAUCACCAUGCAUGAGCAUCCUUUCACUACUGUAGAAGAGGAGGGCUUCAAUUUGAUGCUAAAACGGGGAAUACCACAAUGGACAAGUGUGUCUCGUCACACUAUAAGGACAGACUCCUUCAAAGUGUACGACAUUGAGAAGAAGAAACUGAAAGCAUUGUUGAAAACAGUAGAUUGAAUUAGCUUGACUACAGAUUUGUGGCGAUCAAGGCCUCAAAAGAUCGAAUACAUGGUUUUAACAGCUCAUUUUGUAGAUCCGCAAUGGAAGCUUCAGAAGCGGGUGCUCAAUUUUGUCCACUUGCCUCCUCCACGUAAAGGUCCUAAUAUAGCAGAUUGCAUCUUAACAUGCUUAAGAGAGUGGGAAAUUGAAGACAAAAUUUUCACAAUCUCGGUGGACAAUGCAACUGCAAAUGAUUCUUGUAUUCAGAUUUUGAAGGAUAAUUUUGCAUCUAAUGGAAGGUUGUUAUGCAAUGGAAGAUUAUUUCAUGUGCGUUGUUGUGCACAUAUCCUCAAUAUAAUGGUUCAACAUGGGCUUCAAUAAGUGAAGAGCAUCAUUGAAAGAGUACAUGACAACGUGGACUUUUUGAACUCAAGUGAAGCACGACUUAAACGGUUUGGUGAGCUUGUUAGCCAAUACAACUUGCAAUCACGGAAAUUAGUCCUUGAAUGCAAGACUCGCUGGAAUGCAAAACUCGCUGGAAUUCAACUUGCAAUCAUUGUGGUUUGUCAGAAAUUUUGCAAUCGGUUAGAUGUGGGCAAGUAGUGGAGCCUAAUAAAUCCGAAGUCGAUUUGUAUUUUGAUGAAGGGCUUUUCAUUACUCAAGAUUCUAAAUUUGAUGUCUUGUCUUGGUGGAAAGAAAAAUCAAUGAAGUACCGAAUUUUGUCUAAGUUAGCGGUACAAAUUUUAGCAGUUCCCAUCACCACUGUGGCUUCUGAGGCAACUUUUAGUGCUGGGGGUCGUGUAAUAGAUCCUUACAGAGCAAGGCUUUCACCAGAAACAGUGUAAAUGUUAAUAUGCACAGGUGACUGGUGCAGAUCCCUCCAUGGAGUGAAAAGAAAGAACAAGAACAAAGAUGAAGAUCAACCUAAAGAAAUUUUCAUCCCGGUACCUUCGAAGGAAUCCGCAAGCUGAUGUCAAAAUUGAGUACUAUUUGCAUUUGUUGUAUUGAAAAAAUAAUGUUGUGGAAUAAUUUUUCUUUAAUAUUUUUAUUGGGAUAUUUUCAUGUGUUUAAUUCAAUUAAGUUGUUGGUUUUUUAUUAUGAAUUAUGUAUUAUAUCUUAAAAUAGCACUUUUAUAAUAAUAAG